CCCUGGUAACUCAAAUAGUAAAGAGUCUGUCUGAAAUACAGGAGACCCAAGUUCAAUCCCUGGGUCAGGAA
rnacentral:tRNA from 1 species